rnacentral:tRNA from 1 species
CGGGGUGUAGCGCAGUCUGGUAGCGCGCCAGUUUUGGGUACUGGAGGUCUCCGGUUCGAAUCCGGGCUCCCCGA